AUGUUCAUUGAGAAAUUUUUGUCUGAGGUGGAGGCGAUCCCCGACGGGAAAGAGCGACCCAGGGACCAAAAUGCAAAAUCCAAGGACCUGCAUGCAACGCCCAGGGACGUGCAUGUAACGUCCCGGGAGGAAUCAGUGCAGCGCGACCGACCAGCUCGGACGACCUGGCUCCUGCCGGCGAAGCAUGACGUGAAGAUUAAUGUUGACGGUGGCCUUUCCAAGGUUGGAGACCGUGGAGCUUCGGCGGUGAUCUGCAGGGAUAAGCAUGGCAUGUUUCUUGGUGCUUCCGCGGUUAUUUUCGAGGGUUUGCUUGACCCAACUACACUCGAAGCUCAGGCGUGCAACGAGGCCCUUGCUCUUGCUGCGGACCUCCAUGCUCAAUCCGUGUGUGUUGCAUCGGACUGCCUCGAGGAGAUCAAGCACAGGAUGCAUUCGAUCCAAGAUUUACAGUUUGUGCACGAGAAUAGAAAACAUAAUGAGGAAGCUCAUGCCUUAGCUAAGGCGGCUGCUUCUCUCCCUCCCGGGCGCCAUGUGUGGCUUACUACUCUGCCCGGUAUCAUCUGUACCCCUAUGUGUUUGAACAUUCAAUAA
rnacentral:rRNA from 1 species